rnacentral:tRNA from 1 species
GCCGGGUUAGCUCAGUUGGUAGAGCGGCUGAUUUGUAAUCAGUAGGUCGUUGGUUCGAAUCCAAUACCCGGCA